CUGCUUCCCCUUUCUCUUCUGCCAUGAUUGUAAGUUUCUUGAGGCCUCCUAGCCAUGCUACUGGUACAGCCUGAGGAACUUUGAGUCAAUAAAACCUCUUUCCUUCAUAAAUUACCCAGUCUCAGGUGGCUCUUUAUAGCAGUGUGAGAAUGGACUAAUGCACCUGUGAUCUACCUUUUGCAGGCUGAAGACCUAGAUGAGUCCAUAGGCCUAAGAACCAGGGGCACAAUGAUAUAAAUCUCUGUUACCAGACCAAACUGGGAUCUGCUUACCGUGUGCCAUAGGCCAACUAUCUACAUGAAAGUUUGCAGAGGGAGAAAAGAGGGGCCCAAGCAUGAAGAAUUGGGCAGCUUACACUUGAGACAUGACCCGUGAUGGCUUAUGCUGAUUUCCCAAUAGGGAAUUAUUGCUGCCACACCCAUAGCCUACAACAGAGGUUCUCCCUAGACCAGGAGCAUCAGCAUCACCUAUGGACUUGUCAGAAAUGUCCACUCUUAGACUCCGUUCCCUAGUUCAGAAAUAGGCAGCGUAAGACUGGCGUGGUACUCCACCAUUAUCUUGGACCUGGUAUCCUGUCUGCUCUGCCACAUGUAACGUGUGUGACUGACAAUCUUCCCUCUGGUCCAACAUGGCUAGCAGGGCUCAGGCUCACAUGUCUGGCAGGAGGAAGGAAGUGAGGAAGAACAGAAAAGGCCCGGGCCAGCUGUCUGGUGCUCUGUCAAGGAGCAUUUCUAUAAGUGUCACUGACACUUCCACUUGUGUGUCAUUGAUCAGACCUUAAUCACAUCGACACAGCAAGGUUGGAUGAGAAAUACAGUCUUUUGUCUCAGCAGUUUCAUCCCUUGCAUAAAAUCAUGGUUGUGCAGAACAGAUACUGGGACGGCAGCUACCCAUCUCUGGCAGAAAUGCCAAUUUCAGAAGUAAGAAAGAAUGAAGUAUGUCUGAUGGAAAUAAACAUAAAAUCAAAGAUCAACAGGAGACAAACUUAAAUGGCUACCAGAAUGAAUGUGAACACACCCCAGAAGAGAACUGGAAAACAAAAUGUCCUUCUCUUCUUAGCCCCAUGUGAACUGUGAGCUCCAGAAGGAAGAGACCCUGUGUGCCUCAUCUCCAGUUCUGGGCUUGGCAUUCAGUAGGCAUUUGAUAGAGGUUGGCUAACUGAACAAGAGUGUAUAAGAAGAUGCUGAGUAAUCUAAGAGAAGAGGUAAGUAUUUGCUUUCUGGAGCCAAGAGGAGGGUAACUGAAUGUUCAAAGGUGAAUGUAAUGUAACUGGCAAGUCUGCCUCUAUUAUAGGGGACAGCUUUCAAAAUUGGUGUGGCCUACUGUGAUGGUUAAUAUUAAAUGUCAACCUGAUUGGAUUGAAGGAUGCAAAGUAUCGUUCCUGGGUGUGUCCAUUGAGGGUGUCGCUAAAGGAGAUUAACAUUUGAGUCAGUGAACUGGGUGGGAGAGGCAGACCUGCUCUCAAUCUGGGUGGGC